rnacentral:rRNA from 1 species
AUGCCUGCAGGAGGCCAACGCGAGCCCGUGGGUGUCGACAAGGGGAACCGGAGCUUGUCGAAGAGGAGACCGCACCGCACGGAGGCGGAGAAGAUGACGGCCAAGGCGACGAUCAAGCGCGCCCUGGACCGAUUCCUUUGGCGGGAGGGUAACUUGGGGCGAGGCAGAGCGCUAGGACAUGGCGGCUGGGCUCGGGGAAGCCGUUGGCCACGAGGACGAAGGACGCCGCCGUCGGCGUGCUCUCGUGGUGACGCCUGUGAGUCGGGAGAUACGAGUUCACAGACAGACAUCCUGUGCAUCCUUCUUCACCUCCACAUCCUGUGCGUGUCGUCGAUACCGCCCAUGUCCAGCUCUAGAGCGAUACAGGACGGGCUCGGCAUCCUGGCCUUCGAGGUGUCGGCGGCCAUGUCGCGAUUGAUCAGGAGUCGACGUGGUGGUCAGGAGUCUCUGCGCCUUUGUCCUGCGUGCCUCACGUCCACGGACCCUACAAACAACAAAGUACUACACAUUUUGACGUGGAAGCACUCGUGCACAGCUACUUAA